ACUCUACGGGAGGCAGCAGUGGGGAAUAUUGCACAAUGGGGGAAACCCUGAUGCAGCCAUGCCGCGUGUGUGAAGAAGGCCUUCGGUUGUAAAGCACUUUCAGUAGGGAGGAAGGUAGUGUAGUUAACACCUGCAUUAUUUGACGUUACCUACAGAAGAAGCACCGGCUAACUCCGUGCCAGCAGCCGCGGUAAUACGGAGGGUGCGAGCGUUAAUCGGAAUUACUGGGCGUAAAGCGCAUGCAGGCGGCCUGUUAAGUCAGAUGUGAAAGCCCGGGGCUUAACCUCGGAAUUGCAUUUGAAACUGGCAGGCUAGAGUCUUGUAGAGGGGGUAGGAAUUUCAGGUGUAGCGGUGAAAUGCGUAGAGAUCUGAAGGAAUACCAGUGGCGAAGGCGGCCCCCUGGACAAAGACUGACGCUCAGAUGCG
rnacentral:rRNA from 1 species